CCUACGGGAGGCUGCAGUGAGGAAUAUUGGUCAAUGGGCGGGAGCCUGAACCAGCCAAGUCGCGUGAGGGAAGACGGUCCUAUGGAUUGUAAACCUCUUUAGGCGGGGAGCAAUGCCGGGCACGUGUACCCGGAGGGAGAGUACCCGCAGAAUAAGCAUCGGCUAACUCCGUGCCAGCAGCCGCGGUAAUACGGAGGAUGCGAGCGUUAUCCGGAUUUUUGGGGUUUAAAGGUUGCGUAGGCGGAUUGUUAAGUCAGCGGUAAAAUGUCCGGGCUCAACCCGGGCCGGCCGUUGAAACUGGGGAUCUUGAGUGGGCGAGAAGUAUGCGGAAUGCGUGGUGUAGCGGUGAAAUGCAUAGAUAUCACGCAGAACUCCGAUUGCGAAGGCAGCAUACCGGCGCCCGACUGACGCUGAGGCACGAAAGCGUGGGGAUCGAACAGGAUUAGAUACCCGAGUAGUC
rnacentral:rRNA from 1 species